GACGAACGCUGGCGGCGUGCCUAAUACAUGCAAGCCGAGCGAACAGAUGAGGAGCUUGCUCCCCUGACGUUAGCGGCGGAUGGGUGAGUAACACGUGGGCAACCUGCCCUGCAGAUGGGGAUAACUCCGGGAAAUCGGGGCUAAUACCGAAUGAUCAGUUUGUUCGCAUGAACAAACUCUAAAAGACGGUUUCGGCUGUCACUGCAGGAUGGGCCCGCGGCGCAUUAGUUAGUUGGUGAGGUAACGGCUUACCAAGGCGACGAUGCGUAGCCGACCUGAGAGGGUGAUCGGCCACACUGGGACUGAGACACGGCCCAGACUCCUACGGGAGGCAGCAGUAGGGAAUCUUCCACAAUGGACGAAAGUCUGAUGGAGCAACGCCGCGUGAGCGAAGAAGGUUUUCGGAUCGUAAAGCUCUGUUGUGAGGGAAGAACAAGUAUAGGAGUAACUGCCUGUACCUUGACGGUACCUCAUUAGAAAGCCACGGCUAACUACGUGCCAGCCGCCGCCGUAAUAC
rnacentral:rRNA from 1 species